rnacentral:misc_RNA from 1 species
AGGAAUCAUCUCUGAAACAGUUAAUAUUGCUGAUGCCAUAAGAGCUUGUAAUCUUACCACCUCACGGGAAGAAUUUGAUACUUGGGACAAGACUCUGGAAGCCUCUGAGCAUUUUGGCAUGAAUGUUGGAUGUUUACGUGCCAGGCUGAGCCGGCUUGUAAGCCUUGCCUUUGAUUCAGAAGGUGCCACAAAGACUAGAAGGUAUAUAGAAGCUAAAACAGAACAAGCGCACACAGAAGAUGAGAUACAAAAUCUCGAAGCAAAGCUUGUGGAAUUAAAAGCAGCCUAUGACAAGUUUGGUGCUGAAAUUGAGAAUCUCAAGUCAAAAGCUGAAAGCUAUGAGCUCAAGUUCCAGGAAGAGGUUCUCGCUCCAUGGUGAUGUAUGCUUUACAAUAUACUAGUAAUUUAUUUUUUUUUUUUUCUUUUGUUUGCCCUGUUCUUUUGAAAUUAUACAUCUAAC